rnacentral:rRNA from 1 species
AGGACGAACGCUGGCGGCGGGCUUAACACAUGCAAGUCGAACGAAGCCUUCGGGCUUAGUGGCGCACGGGUGAGUAACGCGUAGGCAAUCUACCUUCAGCUGUGGAAUAACCAGGGGAAACCCUGGCUAAUACCGCAUAACGUCUCGGGGUCGCAUGGCCCCUUGAUCAAAGCCCCGGCGGCUGAAGAUGAGCCUGCGUCAGAUUAGCUAGUUGGUGGGUAACGGCCCACCAAGGCUACGAUCUGUAGCGGGUCUGAGAGGAUGAUCCGCCACACUGGCACUGAGACACGGGCCAGACUCCUACGGGAGGCAGCAGUAGGGAAUCUUGGACAAUGGGCGAAAGCCUGAUCCAGCCAUGCCGCGUGAGUGAAGAAGGCCUUAGGGUUGUAAAGCUCGUUUUUGGCGGGUACGAUAAGUGUCGGUACCCGCGAGAAUAACGCCCCGGCUAACUUCGUCGCCAGCACGCCGCGU